CCAGAAAGCACCACUACAGGUACCACAACACCCGAGAAUACAACAGACACUACAACGAUUGAAAGCACCACUACAGGUUCAUCAACAGCCAAAACCACAACAGACACUACGACAACAGAAAGCACCACCAAAGGUACCACAACAACAGAAAGCGCCACAACCGAGACCACAGCAGACACUACAACACCAGAUAGCACCACUACAGGUACUACAACAACAGAAAGCACAACAACAGAGACCAAAACAGACACAACAACACCAGACAGUACCACUACAGGUACCACAACAGCUGAGACCACAACAGACACUACUACAACAGAAAGCACCACCACAGGUGCCACAACAACAGAAAGCACCACUAAAGAUACCACAACACCCGAGACUACAACAGACACUACAACAAUAGAAAUCACCACCACAGCUGCCACAACAACAGAAAGCACCACAACCGAGACAACAAAGACACUACAACACCAGAAAGCACCACUACACGUCUUACAACAUUUGAGACUACAACAGAAACUACAACAACAGAAAGCACACCAACCGAAACCACAACAGACACUACAACAUCAGAAAGCACCACUACAGGUACCACAACUGCUGAGACCACAACAGACACUACUACAACAGAAAGCAUCACCAUAGGUGCCAUAACAACAGAAAGCACCACUACAGGUACUACCACAACAGUCGAGACUACAAUAGACAGUACAACAAUAGAAAUCACCACCACAGGUACCACAACGGUUGAGACCACAACCGAGACCACAACAGACACUAGAACACCAGAAAGUACCACUACAGGUACCACAACACCCGAGACUACAACAGACACUACAACGAUAGAAAGCACCACUACAGGUUCUACAAAAGCCGAAACCACAACAGACACUACGACAACAGAAAGCACAACCACAGGUACCACAACAACAGAAAGCACCACAACCGAGACCACAACAGACACUACAACACCAGAAAGCACCACUACUGGUACUACAACAGAAAGCACAACAACAGAGACCACUACAGACACCACAACAUCAGAAAGCACCACUACAGGUACCACAACUGCUGAGACCACAACAGACACUACAACGAUAGAAAGCACCACUACAGGUUCUACAACAGCCGAAACCACUACAGACACUACGACAACAGAAAGUGCAACCACAGGUACCACAACAACAGAAAGCACCACAACCGAGACCACAACAGACACCACAACACCAGAAAGCACUACUACUGGUAUCACAACAACAGAAAGCACCACAACCGAGACCACAACAGACACUACAACACCAGAAAGCACCACUACAGGUACUACAACAACAGAAAGCACAACAACAGAGACCACAACAGAGACCAUAACAGACACAACAACACCAGAAAGUACCACUACAGGUACCACAAGAACAGAAAGCACCACAACCGAGACCACAACAGACAAUACAACACCAGAAAACACCACUACAGGUACUACGACAACAGAAAGCACAACAACAGAGACCACUACAGACACUACAACACCAGAAAGCACCACUACUGGUGCCACAACUGUAGAGACUACAACAGAAACUACAACAAUAGAAAGCACCACCACAGGUACCACAACAACAGAAAGCAGCACAACCGAGGCCACAACAGACACCACAACACCAGAAAGCACUACUACUGGUAUCACAACAUCAGAAAGCACCACAACUGAGACCACAACAGACACUACAACACCAGAAAGCACCACUACAGGAACUAAAACAACAGAAAGCACAACAACAGAGACUACAACAGACACAACAACACCAGAAAGUACCACUACAGGUACCACAACAACAGAAAGCACCACAACCGAGACCACAACAGACACUACAACACCAGAAAGCACCACUACAGGUACUACAACAACAGAAAGCACCACAACAGAGACCACUAUAGACACUACAACAAUAGAAAGCACCACUACUGGUGUGACAACUGUCGAGACUACAACAGAAACUACAACAAUAGAAAGCACCAGCACAGGUACCACAACAACAGAAAGCACCACAACCGAGGCCACAACAGACACCACAACACCAGAAAGCACUACUACUGGUAUCACAACAACAGAAAGCACCACAACCGAGACCACAACAGACACUACAAAACCAGAAAGCACCACUACAGGUACUACAACAACAGAAAGCACAACAACAGAGACCACAACAGACACAACAACACCAGAAAGUACCACUACAGGUACCACAACAGUCGAGACUACAAUAGACAGUACAACAAUAGAAAUCACCACCACAGGUACCACAACGGCUGAGACCACAACCGAGACCACAACAGACACUACAACACCAGAAAGCACCACUACAGGUACUACAACAAUAGAAAGCACAACAACAGAGACCACAACAGACACUACAACACCAGAAAGCACCACUACUGGUGCCACAACUGUCGAGACUACAACAGAAACUACAACAAUAGAAAUCACUACCACAGGUACCACAACGGCUGAGACCACAACCGAGACCACAACAGACACUACAACACCAGAAAGUACCACUACAGGUACCACAACACCUGAGACUACAACAGACACUACAACGAUAGAAAGCACCACUACAGGUUCUACAACAGCCGAAACCACAACAGACACUACGACAACAGAAAGCACAACCACAGGUACCACAACAACAGAAAGCACCACAACCGAGACCACAACAGACACUACAACACCAGAAAGCACCACUACAGGUACUACAACAACAGAAAGCACAACCACAGGUACCACAACAACAGAAAGCACCACAACCGAGACCACAACAGACACUACAACACCAGAAAGUACCACUACAGGUACCACAACAGAAAGCACCACCACAGGUACCACAACAACAGAAAGCACCACAACCGAGACCACAACAGACACUACAACACCAGAUAGCACCACUACAGGUACUACAACAAACAGAAAGCACAACAUCAGAGACCACAACAGACUCAACAACACCAGAAAGUACCACUACAGGGUACCACAACAGUUGAGACAACAAUAGAUACUACAACAACAGAAAGCACCACGACCGAGGCCACUACAGAAACUACAACACCAGAUAGCACCACUACAGGUACUACAACAACAGAAAGCACAACAACAGAGACCACAACAGACACAACAACACCAGAAAGUACCACUACAGGUACCACAACACCCGAGACUACAACAGACACUACAACGAUUGAAAGCACCACUACAGGUUCAACAACAGCCGAAACCACAACAGACACUACGACAACAGAAAGCACCACUACAGGUAACACAACAACAGAAAGCACCACAACCGAGACCACAACAGACACUACAACAACAGAAAGCACCCACCACAGGUACCACAACAACAGAAAGCACCACAACCGAGACCACAACAAGACACUACACACCAGAUAGCACCACUACAGUACUACAACAACAGAAAGCACACAACAGAGACCACAACAGACUCAACAACACCAGAAAGUACCACUACAGGUACCACAACAGUUGAGACAACAAUAGAUACUACAACAACAGAAAG
rnacentral:lncRNA from 1 species